GUAGGUGGCAAGCGUUGUCCGGAAUUAUUGGGCGUAAAGCGCGCGCAGGCGGUUCUUUAAGUCUGAUGUGAAAGCCCACGGCUCAACCGUGGAGGGUCAUUGGAAACUGGAGAACUUGAGUACAGAAGAGGAAAGCGGAAUUCCACGUGUAGCGGUGAAAUGCGUAGAGAUGUGGAGGAACACCAGUGGCGAAGGCGGCUUUCUGGUCUGUAACUGACGCUGAGGCGCGAAAGCGUGGGGAGCAAACAGGAUUAGAUACCCUGGUAGUCCACGCCGUAAACGAUGAGUGCUAAGUGUUAGGGGGUUUCCGCCCCCUUAGUGCUGCAGCUAACGCAUUAAGCACUCCGCCUGGGAGUACGGCCGCGAGGCUG
rnacentral:rRNA from 1 species